GACAGAGGUGCCGAGCGUUAGGCGGAAUCACUGGGCUUAAAGCGUGUGUAGGCGGAUCCGUAAGUACCUUGUGAAAUCCCACGGCUCAACCGUGGAACUGCUUGGUAUACUGCGGGUCUUGAGCCAUCUAGGGGCAACCGGAACAAACGGUGGAGCGGUGAAAUGCGUAGAUAUCAAGAGGAACACCUGAGGUGAAGACGGGUUGCUGGGCCGACACUGACGCUGAUGCGCGAAAGCCAGGGGAGCAAACGGG
rnacentral:rRNA from 1 species